UACGAGUGCCUCGAGCGUUAUCCGGAAUCAUUGGGCGUAAAGGGUGUGUAGGCGGCAAUGUUAGUCUCGCGUAAAAUCUUUCGGCUCAACCGAGAGUCUGCGUGGGAAACGGCAUUGCUAAGAGGAUGGAAGGGGUCUGCGGAACUCAUGGUGUAGCGGUGAAAUGCGUUGAUAUCGGAAGGAACGCCCGUGGCGAAAGCGAGGUCCUGGACGUCUUCUGACGCUGAGACGCGAAAGCUAGGGGAGCGAACGGG
rnacentral:rRNA from 1 species